rnacentral:rRNA from 1 species
GACGUAGGGCGCGAGCGUUGUCCGGAUUUAUUGGGCGUAAAGAGCUCGUAGGCGGCUCGUUGCGUCGGCUGUGAAAACCCGCAGCUCAACUGUGGGCUUGCAGCUGAUACGGGCGGGCUGGGAUUCGGUAGGGGAGACUGGAAUUCCUGGUGUAGCGGUGAAAUGCGCAGAUAUCAGGAGGAACACCGGUGGCGAAGGCGGCUUUCUGGCCUGUUCUUGACGCUGAGGCGCGAAAGCUAGGGGAGCAAACGGG